rnacentral:misc_RNA from 1 species
GAUGAAGAACGUAGCGAAAUGCGAUAAGUAGUGUGAAUUGCAGAAUUCAGUGAAUCAUCGAAUCUUUGAACGCACAUUGCGCCCCAUAGUAUUCCGUGGGGCAUGCCUGUUCGAGCGUCAUUUACCCCCUCAAGCUCCGCUUGGUGUUGGGCGUCUGUCCCGCUUCGCGCGCGGACUCGCCCCAAAGGUAUUGGCAGCGGUCGUGCCAGCUUCUCGCGCAGCACAUUGCGCUUCUCGAGGCACCGGUGGGCCCGCGUCCAUCAAGCUCACCCCCCCAGUUUGACCUCGGAUCAGGUAGGGAUACCCGCUGAACUUAAGCAUAUCAAUAAGCGGAGGA